UACGUAGGUGGCAAGCGUUGUCCGGAUUUAUUGGGUUUAAAGGGUGCGUAGGCGGUCUUAUAAGUCAGUGGUGAAAUACGGCAGCUCAACUGUCGAGGUGCCAUUGAUACUGUAGGACUUGAGUAACAGACGAGGUAGGCGGAAUUGAACGGUGUAGCGGUGAAAUGCUUAGAUAUCGUCAAGAACACCGAUAGCGAAGGCAGCUUACUAGGCUGUAAACUGACGCUGAGGCACGAAAGUGUAGGGGAUCAAACAGG
rnacentral:rRNA from 1 species